rnacentral:lncRNA from 1 species
GGAAUACUGAUGAUAUGACACAGGUGAAUAUGACACAGGCCAUUUUGGAGCAAUCAGUGGCUGUGUUGGUGAGAAAUUACGAGAGUUGAAGCCCAACACAUCACAGAGACAACAAGCUGGGAAGGUGGCUUGUGUAGAUCAUGACCAUCACCUGGUUCUAUCACAAGACAAGGGGCUGGAGCAACCCAGGCCAUGCGACAAGGAUGCCUCAAAGCCACACGUGCCAUCCAUAAUAUAUACCUCCCACAUCAUCUCAGAGGCUUCUCAGUGACACAGACAACAUCAGGCAGUGAAGCAGGAGGGCAGAGGUCCCAUUUCAGAGUAAGCUGAAAAAAUCCGAGC